AAAGCGACCACAGCGGCAACAUCAUCAACUCAUUCUGGACAAAUCUCAACGAAAUGGAUCGAAAAAUAGCCUUCGCUUUUCUGUUCGUGAUUCUUCAAGUUACUACAGUUUCGGCCGGUUGGGGUAGCCUGCUUCGUGUGGAGACCAAAGCAAUUCUAGGUACACUGGCUUUACGCCGACGUACUUGGAACGAGAACAAGGCAUCCCAGCAAAUAACUCCUGAGAUGGAAGAAAAAUUAGACGCUGAAAUGGAAAAAUUAAUGCAGCAACUGGCAGAGGACCAACAAUAGCAUGGAUUGAAUAAGAAAUACCAUUUAGU